AUAUUUGGGGGACAGUGUUGGGACGGAACUGGGAGUCUGGGAGUCAGAGAAUGACAACCCAGUUCAGCGGGUGCUCCUCAUUUGUUGAUUUUACAAGGAGAAGCUGUCCAGCCAAUCACCUAUCCACUCAUUCAUCUAUUUGGAGAGAAAUGAUAAAGCCUGAGGAUUAAGAAAAAGCCACGGCCUGUCCUCUGCCAGCUUGUAGAAGAUCCUGGCCAGCUGAGGGGACAAAUAAAGGAUCAGAAGGCUGGAAUGCAGGGCCGUGCUGGCCUAACUCUCACUGGUUCAUGGAACAGAUGCAUAAUUAAAACAGAGGUCCGGGAAGGUGCUAGAAAGGUGAACAUCAAGCCGGAGCCUGAAGGACAAACGAGUUCACCAUUUGUCUCCUUGAAUGCAGCGUCUGGAGAAGACCUCCUUCAACCCACCUAACACCUCCCGUCAGGCUCAGCUCAGGCACUGUGGUGGAUGGAGGGCUGAUGGUUAACACCCAGCUGAACUGAAUCAGCAUGCUGCUGCGUGUGGAUGGCCCACCUGAGGAUUGCUGCCAACAAUAUAAAAGGGAGACCCGGAGAGGAAGAAGUGGUGGUGUUGGUUCUCCUGGAGGAGCUUGUUGAGCUGCUUUCCUGAUAUGAACUUGGAUGUUCUCAUUGUUGCUGAAGAUGGCUGUGGUACUUUUCGAGGGCACCCUGGUCCUUAUUUGGAUCACUGCUUCCUGGCUCCAGCACAGAACCCUCAGCCUGCUGGCACAGUCCUUCACCCUGCAGGCAGAGACUUUCUAGCUUCCAACACUGACCUAUGGAUCUUCCCAGCACAGAUCUGUGAAACAGACUUACACGAGUCAUUGUCAUGGGCUCUUCCGCUGGACUCAUGCAGGACACUGCCAUGGGAUCCAGGCCCUCAGCUGGAUUCUUUCGGUCUUUAGCGUGUGGACAGAUCUCCUGCACUUUUUCUGUGUUUGACUUUUUGGGUCAAAUUAAUAUAAAAUAAUUGUAUAAAAUGUGCGUCCUGUAUUAAAUUGUUUUCCUGAACCCUGGUGACAACAGGCAUUAUUUCCUCCAGGCUAAGGUGGAUCCCCAUCACCACGUGCUGUUUCCAGGACCCUCUGCACCCCACCUGGCACAGCCCCAUGGCAGGCCGGCUGCUCUGUUUGCCUGCCCAGCUCUGGAGAGGCGCUCCCCACCCUGCACACACUGGAUGCUGGUGGUGCUGCCCUGUCUAAGGGUCUCAUCCCGAAGAGGAGCAGGUCAUAUGGAGAACAAGCUCUGAACUCAGGUUUGACUCAAGGGUUACCAGGGGCAUUCAGCUGAGGGAAAAGUGCUAGUCCACAGCACUUUCGGUUUUUGUGCUGUGUAGAGGGACUCUGGAAGUGCCCUGGGUGACAACCCUUCUUAAUUCCCCACAGGAUGAAAGGGGUGGACGCUCAGGGCUCCUAAACCUGGGCGACAAAGCCAGAGAAACCUGGGCUCGGGAGGAGGGGCAAAACAGCGGGAAAGGUGGAGCAAAAGGAAACUGAAGCCAGGGCUCAGCUCAGUGACAAAUGGUUAAAGGACCCAGAUCUGGUGUGUGAAUCACUUCUCUAGGCAAGGGGAGAAGAGAAUUGCAGGUCCCCAAAAUGUCCGCCAGGGGGCAACAGAGCCUACACCCGCCGGCAGGUCGCCAUGGGAACCGCUGAGCAGCGGCGGUGUUUCCCUCGGCAGCGGCAGGGAGCUACAGAGAACGCUCCAGGUCUGGCCUCGGGGUCUCUGGAAGGACGGAGCCUGUCAGCUCCAGGCACGUUUGUUAUCCCACGACAAAAGCCCACGCAGAGACAAAGGGGCCAGAUGACUUUCAUGUUUCCUUACCUCCACGUGGGUCACACCGAGCCCUUGGAGGAGAAAGAUAAAACGGGGAUUUGCAUCAGCCGCGCCAGCGCGGUCCUUACACAGAUGAAAUGGAAGGUCAGAAAGGGAAAGACGCCUGCAGACCACACAGCAGCAGAACUGGAAACAGAGCUGAAGAGAAAGUGGGAAAGAAAAAAGGAAAGCUAUGCAAAUGAUCAAAGGCCACUCUAGCAAAGUAUGUGUGUGUGUUUUUAUUUUUCUUUAAACUGUUUUAAGUACCAGCCUCUACCUGAUAUGGUGCUACAGUGUAACUGAGGAACCCCAUUCACUGAUCACAUGCAUCUUCUUCUUCCUGUUCCAUAAUCCUCUCCCAUAAUCCUCUCCCAACUAGUCUUCCCCUCUCUGGGCUUUUAUUUCCUCUAUAAAACAAAGAAGUGGGUCUAAUUUCAAAACCCAUUACUCUUUAUAAUAAAGUGAAGCCCUGAUCUCAGUUAACUCAGCCCCCAUUUACUGGGGACAUGAGUGGGAAAUACCCUUCUGGGCUCAAGCCCGUGUAGCAGGCAGACGUGUCUCUACCAAGCCUUGGGCAGAUUCUGUCCCUCGGGUUUCAUAUGCAAUUGUAACGUUGGGGAACAUUGGUCAUAAACAAAAACUACCUCAGAAUAUUUGCACAGUACUUAACUUGCAGUUUAUUUUAAAACUCAAGAUAUAAUGGCUGAGCAUGGUGGCACACACUUAUACUCCCAGCUACUUGGAGGUGGAGGCAGGGAGAGAAUCGUUUGAAGCCAUGAGUUUGAGAGCAGACUGGGAAGUAUUGGGGAACCUCAUUUCAAAACCAAACCCAACCCAAUUAAUUCAAUAAAUAUAACAUGAGAAAA